AGAGUUUGAUCAUGGCUCAGGGCUAACGCUGGCGGCGUGUCUUAGCCAUGCAAGUCGAGCGGUCCUAUGGGGCGACCUAUAGGAUAGCGGCGGACGGCGGAGUAACACGUAGCUAACUACCCUCCGGACGGGGAUAACCAUUCGAAAGGGUGGCUAAUACCCGAUGGAGUCAUCCGCAAGGGUGAUGAAAGGUGGGCCUCUGUUUACAAGCUCAUGCCGGGGGAGGGGGCUGCGGCCUAUCAGGUAGUUGGUGGGGUAAAGGCCCACCAAGCCUAUGACGGGUAGCCGGCCUGAGAGGGUGACCGGCCCGAGGGACACUGAGACACGGGUCCCACUCCUACGGGAGGCAGCAGGCUAGAAAUUUGGGCAAUGGGGGAAACCCUGACCCAGUGACGCCGCGUGCAGGAAGGAGCCCUUCGGGGUGUAAACUGCUGUCGUGCGGGGCGAAGGGUUUAUAGGCGAAUAGUCUAUAGACUUGACGGUACCGCAGGAGGAAGCCCAGGCUAACCUCGUGCCAGCAGCCGCGGUAAUACGGGGUGGUGAGCGUUGCCCGGAAUUACUGGGUUUAAAGGGGGUGUAGGCGGUCUGGAUAGUCAGGUGUGUAAUCCAAUCGCUCAACGAUUGGACUGCAUCUGAUACUUUCAGGCUAGAGGGCGGUAGAGGAGAGCGGAACUCCCGGUGUAGCGGUGAAAUGCGUAGAUAUCGGGAGGAACGCCGGUGGCGAAGGCGGCUCUCUGGGCCGUUCCUGACGCUGAGGCCCGAAAGCUGGGGGAGCGAAAGGGAUUAGAUACCCCUGUAGUCCCAGCCGUAAACGAUGGGCACUAGGUGUGCCUCUAUAUAGGGGUGUGCCGACGGGAAACCAUUAAGUGCCCCACCUGGGGAGUACGCCCGCAAGGGUGAAACUCAAAGGAAUUGACGG
rnacentral:rRNA from 1 species